rnacentral:rRNA from 1 species
GACGAACGCUGGCGGCGUGGAUUAGGCAUGCAAGUCGGACGGUAGGGCUUUAUCGUAAGAUAGAGUUUGAGAGUGGCGAACGGGUGAGUAACACGUAGGAAUCUACCCUUAAGACGGGGACAACCCAGGGAAACUUGGGCUAAUACCGGAUGAGAGUGCGAGAGAUUGCAUUUAAAAGGAUGGCGAAAGUUGUCGCUUAGGGAUGAGCCUGCGGUCUAUUAGUUAGUUGGUGAGGUAAGAGCUCACCAAGGCGAUGAUAGAUAGGCGGCCUUAACGGGUGGUCGCCCACACUGGGAUUGAGAUACGGCCCAGACUCCUACGGGAGGCAGCAGUCGAGAAUAGUCUACAAUGGCCGGAAGGCUGAUAGUGCGACGCCGCGUGAACGAGGGAGCCCUCGGGUGUAAGUUCUUUAUAUGUGAGCAGUGCUUCUUAUAUUAACAGUAUGGGGAGAGAGAUAUUAGCAUAUGAAUAAGCAACGGCUAACUCCGUGCCAGC